rfam:Thermacetogenium phaeum DSM 12270, complete genome.
GUUUCAAUUCCUCAUAGGUACGCUGAAAAC